AUUGAACGCUGGCGGCACGCCUAACACAUGCAAGUCGAGCGGUAGCAUGAUCUGUAGCAAUACAGAUUGAUGACGAGCGGCGGACGGGUGAGGAACACGUAGGAACUUGCCCAAUAGAGGGGGAUAACUAAGGGAAACUUUAGCUAAUACCGCAUAUUCUCGAGAGAGGAAAGCUGCCCGCAAGGGUGGCGCUAUUGGAGAGGCCUGCGUCCGAUUAGCUAGUUGGUGAGGUAAAGGCUCACCAAGGCGAUGAUCGGUAACUGGUCUUAGAGGACGACCAGUCACACUGGGACUGAGACACGGCCCAGACUCCUACGGGAGGCAGCAGUGGGGAAUCUUGGACAAUGGGGGCAACCCUGAUCCAGCGAUGCCGCGUGAGUGAAGAAGGCCUUCGGGUCGUAAAGCUCUUUAGGUUGGGAGGAAGGCUAGUAUUUUAAGAGAUAACUAGUUUGACUGUACCGACAGAAUAAGCACCGGCAAACUCUGUGCCAGCCGCCGCGGUAA
rnacentral:rRNA from 1 species